GUGAGGGUGGAUCAGGUCCGCGUUGGUCCCCGUCUGUUCAAAGAAUCACAACUGGUAUACAACUCUUCCCUCCUAACCCCUCCCCCUGGUGAAAGAAAGUUUUGAGGGGGUGAAAAAAGUUAUUGAAAAGUUAUAAGAGAUGUUAUAGUUUUACAGUGUGAGGGGGGAGUUGGUGUUUUAAACGUGUGUGUGUGUGUGUGUGUGUAGGUUGUGUGAGAGGUGAGGGGUGGGUGAGUCAGUGAUACAAGACUUCCAUACUACUACACCGCCUCCGCCAAGAACACCAGCAGCAGUCAGCACCACCACCAUCAGGGCCCUUGAGAGCCGUAAGCCGCUACUCUGAUCAGCUGAUUCUGGCAGCUAGACGAAGCAGAUUAUCACAACAUCCAGGUAAC